GCCCAGGUGGCGAAACUGGUAGACGCAAGGGAUUUAAAAUCCCUCGGGAGAAAUCUCAUGCUGGUUCGAUUCCGGCCCUGGGCA
rnacentral:tRNA from 1 species